rnacentral:rRNA from 1 species
AACGAACGCUGGCGGCAUGCCUAACACAUGCAAGUCGAACGAUCCCUUCGGGGAUAGUGGCGCACGGGUGCGUAACGCGUGGGAACCUGCCCUUAGGUUCGGAAUAACUCAGAGAAAUUUGAGCUAAUACCGGAUAAUGUCUUCGGACCAAAGAUUUAUCGCCUUUGGAUGGGCCCGCGUUGGAUUAGCUAGUUGGUGGGGUAAAGGCCUACCAAGGCGACGAUCCAUAGCUGGUCUGAGAGGAUGAUCAGCCACACUGGGACUGAGACACGGCCCAGACUCCUGCGGGGGGCAGGAGGGGGGAAUAUUGGCGGAUGAGCGAAAGCUUGAUCCAGCAGUGGGGCGGGAGUGAGGAAGGAUUUCGGGUUGCACUGGUGUUACGGCGGGGGGGCUAAGGGCAGUACGGGGAGAAUACGCGCCGACUACAGCCGGUCGAGGUGCCGGGGUAAAGAGAAUAGCACCGUUUGAUG